CAUUCCCAAGAUUCUCAUUGAUGGGCAGCAAAUCAGAGGCUAAUCUCCACUCUAAACUCACAAAUAAUGUCAGUUUCCCCAAUCAAAGCUACUAGCUAUUGCAGUUUCCUUUUCCUCAAGAGGACUUGUUCACUUGGUGAGGGCCUUCUAUCUUCAAAAGCGUCCAUCAGGGCUCUUCCAAGGGGAACUCUUCCUUCUUCUUGAUAUGGAGAAUGUUUUGAGGCGAUUCAUCUCUUAGUUGCGGAUUGUUUGAGAGCUGGACAUCUGAUGAAUGGUCAAAAGACAUGUUUUGAAGUUUUCCUAUGUGUGAAAAGCUGUGAUCAUAAGCUAUUCUCUCAAUCUGAUGGGGCUAUUACAAGGUUGAUGGAAAAGAUGCCAUGGAAGGAUCAACCUUGUUAGCAAUAUAGUCCUUGUGGAUGGCAAUUUCCUGGUGAGAGAGUGUCCAUGCCUUGUAAGGGGAACCUGUUAUGAAAAAUACUUGGCAAUUCUAAGUCUAAUUUAAGAGUCUAUAGUUACAAUGGUGAGUCCAUGAAAGUAUACAUGGGGCUGAGGCAGAGAGAGAGAUUUUAUUGAGGCCUAGAGCUCUAUAAGAAUCUGCAUGAAUGAUGAUUCUGGCUGGCUACAGGGAUUCUCAUGCAUGAGGUAAAGAACAGAGAUAUGGAUUAGCCAAUACAUGGGAAAACAGCUGGUUGGAUUUUAAGUCAUGCCUUGCAGAAAAUUCUUCUCCAUUCUGAUGACAAAUGCUGCUAAUGAGGCUUGUCAGCCCUUUAAGGAAACAUAGCUUGGUCUCCUCAAGAGCUUUCAUUGAUCUGUUGAAGGAAUCUGAGUUGGCACAUCUGAAAAGCUUGAGUGGUUAACCCUCGUACCAAUUCAUCAGAAGCCUCCCUAUAGGAUGCAUAUCUUCUGAUCUAAAGGGAAGGUGCUGUAACAAGAGCUGCUGCCCCAACAUUGAAUGGCACUGGCAUUACUAGAUUCUCUACUUUGAGACUGAUCAUAUUCUAAUUGGAUGCUAAGUUGUCAAAAUUUGCUCAAAUUCUCAGAAAAUACUUGUCUAUGCCUAUGUAAUGGAUGCCUCAAUACAAUAUACACCAUUAUGCUGUCUUCAGUUCUAUGUUAAGGAUGUCUCAAUGCAGUAUACACGAUUAUUGCUACAUGUAAAAGUUAAUGAGUAUUACAAUUUAACACAUUGUAACGUAUGUGAUCUU